rnacentral:rRNA from 1 species
UACAGAGGGUGCGAGCGUUGUUCGGAAUUAUUGGGCGUAAAGAGCUCGUAGGCGGCCUGUUGCGUCCGCUGUGAAAUCCCGGGGCUUAACCCCGGGCGUGCAGUGGAUACGGGCUGGCUAGAGGCAGGCAGGGGAGAACGGAAUUCCCGGUGUAGCGGUGAAAUGCGCAGAUAUCGGGAGGAACACCGGUGGCGAAAGCGGCGCACUGGACCACAACUGACGCUGAGGCGCGAAAGCUAGGGGAGCAAACAGG